AAUAUGUGCAAUAAUUAAAUUUUUUAAAAUUUAUUGCAAAACAUAAGUGUUCUAUUACUACGAUAAUAUUAUGGAAAAAAAAAAAUACUGUAUAAAAUUUAUUUUGUAUCAAAUAUGAAAAAAUUCAACUAUGUGAAAGGCUUUUUUAUGACUAAAAAGAAUGCGAUCAAACAUUUGUCUCCCGUAUUGGUGGCCCCCAAAAUGGCACAUUUUCUGCUCCACUGUUGCACAAUCAUAAAAAUCAUUCACGUCAAUGUUUAUACACUUUCCUAGCAGGACCUGGACAACGAGUUGAAGUCAUUUUUAAAACAUUUAAUCUAAGAGGAAAUCCACCAGACGGUUCCGCCGUUGGUGAAUUACCAUCAUGUGUUCAUGAGUAUAUGGAUAUAUACUCAGAAGUGCAAUCAUCGGAACCAGCAGAACUGAUAAAUUCACCAUUUGGUGGCCGUUAUUGUGGUACAAUACCACCUAGACAACGCAUUUCCAUGUAUCGUGCCAUUGCCAUUUCGUUUUUUACAAAUAAAAAUAUCACCACACCCGAUCUAUUUGAAGGCACAUUUCGUUUUAUAAAUGCAUCGGAAUAUGAAAUUGGUAUACCAAUAGCUGGUUCACCAUGUUCCUAUACAAUAACACCCAGUUUGAGUAUAAAUAAAACGGGCGUUUUAAUAUCGCCCACCUAUCCGGGUGCCUAUCCCAAGGAUAUGUCUUGUACAUAUCAAUUUUUGGGUGAAUCGAAUCAAAGAGUUAGAUUAGAAUUUCGUGAUUUUGAUCUGUUUUUUGGUGGACCACACUGCCCAUUCGAUUAUGUUAAAGUCUAUGAUGGUCCCGACAAUUCAUCAGCAUUAAUUGGUACAUAUUGCGGACAGCAAAGAAAUUUAGUUUUAUAUUCUAGCGAAUCAAGUCUAUUUGUGCAUUUUUUUACCUUGUCACGUACGGCAAAUACUCAAAAUCGUGGUUUUAAAGGAAUUUAUGAAUUUAGUGAAAGUUUUGUUAAAUUAGAUUUUAUACGUGAAAAUGAUGGCAUUCACAUACGUGGCUCAGAAUGUGAUCAAAAGAUAUUGUCGAGAAAGGAAUCAACAGGUUUUGUACUCUCACCAAAUUAUCCUUAUCCUUAUAUACCAAAAACUGUUUGUAGAUAUUUCAUUUAUGGCAUGCAAGAUGCCCAACAUUUGGAACGCGUACGUUUAGAGUUUACAGCUUUUAAUAUACCGCGAGUAGAAAGUAAAGAUAAGGAUAAAGAAACUAACUGUUCCGAUGGUUAUUUGAAAAUCUAUCUCAAAGGCCAGGAAACUGCCGAUGCUUAUGAUAAAUUCGAUUAUGAAUUGUGCGGUAAUGAAACUCAACGUGUUGUUAGUGAUGGACCACGCCUAGCGAUGGUUUUCAGUUCGGGUGAACUAAUGGGUCGUGGCUUUAAAGGUAAAUAUGUUUUUGAAACGGAAUAUAAAAUACCUGGCACUGCGGCACCCGAUGGCAGUUGUAGUUUUACAUAUGUCAGUUCAUCGAAGAAACGUGGCGAACUGAAUAGUCCCCGCUAUCCAUCCAAUUAUCCGUCGGAUACGAAUUGUUCGUAUUUGUUCUUGGCCGAACCGAACGAACAGGUGACAAUUGUGUUUGAUCAUUUUAAGAUUAAGGCGGAUGGCAAUUCAAAUGUUACAGCUGGGGCUUAUGGAUCGAUUAUUUGCUUUGAAGAUUGGUUGGAAAUGUACGUCGUCUAUCGUGAUAACAAUGAUCGUUUUCUUGGUCGUUACUGUGGUAUGACAGCACCCGGCCCCGUCGAGAGCCCAAGGGGUGCAGUGGGUCUGCGUAUUACAUUGCAUACCGAUCAAGAGAAUGUUGCAAGUGGUUUUAAGGCUCGUUACUUUUUCGAAACUGCUAAAAGUGAAAUAGGCGACUGUGGAGGCAACUUUUCCAAUGAAGAUUCAGGCAUUAUAACAUCACCCAAUUAUCCGGCCGGCUAUAAGGCACCCGGUCGUGGUAUGGCUUCAAUGGCAUGCAAUUGGUUGAUGACCGCCAGACCCGGUUAUAAGCUAUCCAUACAUUUCGAACAGUUUUCAUUGGAGGGUGAUCCAGCAAAUCGUGGUUGUCCAGCUGCUGUUUUACGUCUUUGGGUUAAUGUUGACUCUGAUCAGCCGCCUUUGGAAUUGUGUGGCGAAAAGCCACCCAUGGAACAAUGGCAUUACAUUUCUACGGGACAAACGGCCCGUAUUAGUUUUACCACCAGUGAUAAAACUGUUGGUGCACAGGGCUUCCGUAUUGUAUGGACUGAAAUACAAGACUCUGGACCAGGACCACCAUCUAUAGGUUUACUGUGCGAGUCCACCUAUCAUUUUCAAUGUGAGGUGGGCUAUUGUAUUUCGGAUAAGUUGCGUUGUGAUGGUGUCAAAAACUGUGGUCCCAAUGAUGAUAGUGACGAAUUGCACUGUGAGUCGUAUCACAAAAGCGCAAGCGGAGGAUCACGGCGUUCUAAUUAUAACAACACUUCUCGUCGUCUCGUUCCUAAUUUGUCUCCUAUGCAUACUCUAUCACUCCAGAAGAAAACGUAGACAACAACUUCAUCAAAUGGGUUUGCAUCGUAAUGCUCAUUAUGAUUCACAAACUAGUGCUACGGUUUUUAGAAGAUUUUAAGUUUGUCUUGUGGGGGUUUAUUAUUUUUAUCUGUUUUAUACAA
rnacentral:misc_RNA from 1 species